rnacentral:rRNA from 1 species
GACGAACGCUGGCGGCGUGCUUAACACAUGCAAGUCGAACGGAAAGGCCCUGCUUUUGUGGGGUGCUCGAGGGGCGAACGGGUGAGUUACACGUGAGUAACGUGUCCCUGACUUUGGGAUAACUUCAGGAAACUGGGGCUAAUACCGGAUAGGAGCUCCUGCUGCAUGGUGGGGGUUGGAAAGUUUCGGCGGUUGGGGAUGGACUCGCGGCUUAUCAGCUUGUUGGUGGGGUAGUGGCUUACCAAGGCUUUGACGGGUAGCCGGGCUGCGAGGGUGACCGGCCACAUGAGGACUGGAAUACGGCCCAGACUCCUCCGGGAGGCAGCAGUGGAGAAUAUUGCACAAUGGGCGGAAGCCUGAUGCAGCAACGCCGCGUGCGGGAUGACGGCCUUCGGGUUGUAAACCGCUUUCGCCUGUGACGAAGCGUGAGUGACGGUAAUGGGUAAAGAAGCACCGGCUAACUACGUG